rnacentral:piRNA from 1 species
UCACAGUUCUGUGUAUUGAUUGGUUGGGC